UGGGGAAUAUUGCACAAUGGGCGCAAGCCUGAUGCAGCCAUGCCGCGUGUAUGAAGAAGGCCUUCGGGUUGUAAAGUACUUUCAGCGGGGAGGAAGGGAGUAAAGUUAAUACCUUUACUCAUUGACGUUACCCGCAGAAGAAGCACCGGCUAACUCCGUGCCAGCAGCCGCGGUAAUACGGAGGGUGCAAGCGUUACUCGGAAUUACUGGGCGUAAAGCGCACGCAGGCGGUUUGUUAAGUCAGAUGUGAAAUCCCCGGGCUCAACCUGGGAACUGCAUCUGAUACUGGCAAGCUUGAGUCUCGUAGAGGGGGGUAGAAUUCCAGGUGUAGCGGUGAAAUGCGUAGAGAUCUGGGGGAAUACCGGUGGCGAAGGCGGCCCCCUGGACGAAGACUGACGCUCAGGUGCGAAAGCGUGGGGAGCAAACAGG
rnacentral:rRNA from 1 species